rnacentral:snRNA from 1 species
GCGUCUCUGCAACACUUGCACUAAAACUGGAAUGAUAUAGAGAAGGUUAGCAUGGCCCCUGUGCAAGGAUGCCACACAAAUCUGUGAAGUGUUCUAUAUUUUU